GACGAACGCUGGCGGCGUGCUUAACACAUGCAAGUCGAACGGAAAGGCCCUGCUUUUGUGGGGUGCUCGAGUGGCGAACGGGUGAGUCACACGUGAGUAACCUGCCCUUGACUUUGGGAUAACUUCAGGAAACUGGGGCUAAUACCGGAUAGGAGCUCCUGCUGCAUGGUGGGGGUUGGAAAGUUUCGGCGGUUGGGGAUGGACUCGCGGCUUAUCAGCUUGUUGGUGGGGUAGUGGCUUACCAAGGCUUUGACGGGUAGCCGGCCUGAGAGGGUGACCGGCCAAAUGGGGAGUGAGAUACGGCCCAGACUCGUACGGGAGGCAGCAGUGGGGAAUAUGGCACAAUGGGCGGAAGCCUGAUGCAGAAACGCGGCGUGCGGGAUGACGGCCUUCGGGUUGAAAACCGCUUUCGCCUGUGACGAAGCGUGAGGGACGGUAAUGGGUAAAGAAGCACCGGCUAACUACGU
rnacentral:rRNA from 1 species